rnacentral:rRNA from 1 species
AGUGAACGCUGGCGGUAGGCCUAACACAUGCAAGUCGAACGGCAGCACAGUAAGAGCUUGCUCUUACGGGUGGCGAGUGGCGGACGGGUGAGGCAUACAUCGGAAUCUACUUUUUCGUGGGGGAUAACGUAGGGAAACUUACGCUAAUACCGCAUACGACCUACGGGUGAAAGCAGGGGAUCUUCGGACCUUGCGCGAUUGAAUGAGCCGAUGUCGGAUUAGCUAGUUGGCGGGGUAAAGGCCCACCAAGGCGACGAUCCGUAGCUGGUCUGAGAGGAUGAUCAGCCACACUGGAACUGAGACACGGUCCAGACUCCUACGGGAGGCAGCAGUGGGGAAUAUUGGACAAUGGGCGCAAGCCUGAUCCAGCCAUACCGCGUGGGUGAAGAAGGCCUUCGGGUUGUAAAGCCCUUUUAUUAGGAAAGAAAAGCAGCAGGUUAAUACCCCGCUGUUCUGACGGUACCCAAAGAAUAAGCACCGGCUAACUUCGUG